ACCUCCAGCAUUCCUAGUAUUGGAGGCACUGCCUGCCCAGUGAUAACUAUUAAACGGCCGCGGUAUCCUGACCGUGCAAAGGUAGCAUAAUCAUUUGUUCCCUAAAUAGGGACUUGUAUGAAUGGCCACACGAGGGUUUUACUGUCUCUUACUUCCAAUCAGUGAAAUUGACCUUCCCGUGAAGAGGCGGGAAUAUAAAAAUAAGACGAGAAGACCCUAUGGAGCUUUAGCUAACUUAUCCAAAGAAAACAAAAUAAACCACUAAGGGAUAAAACAUUCUUUAUGGAUUAGCAGCUUUGGUUGGGGUGACCUCGGAGAAUAAGAAAUCCUCCGAGCGAUUAUAAAGACUAGACCUACAAGUCAAAUCCACAUUAUCGCUUAUUGAUCCAAAAAUUUGAUCAACGGAACAAGUUACCCUAGGGAUAACAGCGCAAUCCUAUUCAAGAGUUCCUAUCGACAAUAGGGUUUACGACCUCGAUGUUGGAUCAGGACAUCCCGAUGGUGCAACAGCUAUCAAA
rnacentral:rRNA from 1 species